ACACACGUGCUACAAUGGACAGAACAAAGGGCAGCGAAACCGCGAGGUUAAGCCAAUCCCACAAAUCUGUUCUCAGUUCGGAUCGCAGUCUGCAACUCGACUGCGUGAAGCUGGAAUCGCUAGUAAUCGCGGAUCAGCAUGCCGCGGUGAAUACGUUCCCGGGCCUUGUACACACCGCCCGUCACACCACGAGAGUUUGUAACACCCGAAGUCGGUGAGGUAACCUUUUAGGAGCCAGCCGCCGAAGGUGGGACAGAUGAUUGGGGUGAAGUCGUAAC
rnacentral:rRNA from 1 species